rnacentral:rRNA from 1 species
UACGUAGGGUGCGAGCGUUGUCCGGAAUUACUGGGCGUAAAGAGCUCGUAGGCGGUUUGUCGCGUUGUUCGUGAAAACUCACAACUCAAUUGUGGGCGUGCGGGCGAUACGGGCAGACUGGAGUACUGCAGGGGAGACUGGAAUUCCUGGUGUAGCGGUGGAAUGCGCAGAUAUCAGGAGGAACACCGGUGGCGAAGGCGGGUCUCUAGGCAGUAACUGACGCUGAGGAGCGAAAGCGUGGGGAGCGAACAGG